CCUACGGGAGGCUGCAGUGGGGAAUAUUGGACAAUGGGCGAAAGCCUGUUCCAGCCAUGCCGCGUGUGUGAAGAAGGCCUUCGGGUUGUAAAGCACUUUCAGUGGGGAAGAAAGCCUUGGGGCUAAUACCCUCGAGGAAGGACAUCACCCACAGAAGAAGCACCGGCUAACUCCGUGCCAGCAGCCGCGGUAAUACGGAGGGUGCGAGCGUUAAUCGGAAUUACUGGGCGUAAAGCGCGCGUAGGCGGUCUGAUAAGCCGGUUGUGAAAGCCCCGGGCUCAACCUGGGAACGGCAUCCGGAACUGUCAGGCUAGAGUGCAGGAGAGGAAGGUAGAAUUCCCGGUGUAGCGGUGAAAUGCGUAGAGAUCGGGAGGAAUACCAGUGGCGAAGGCGGCCUUCUGGACUGACACUGACGCUGAGGUGCGAAAGCGUGGGUAGCAAACAGGAUUAGAUACCCUAGUAGUC
rnacentral:rRNA from 1 species